UACUAAAGUUGUUGCGGUUAAAAAGCUCGUAGUUGAAAUUGUGUCCUGCGGUGUCGGUCUACCGAUUGCGGUACGACAGGCACGUCUGCGGGGCUUCUCGCCGGUGCGUCCACCGCCGGCGUGUGUCGGUCGGCCGCGCACCGAGGCGGGCCGUCGCGGCUGUUUACUUUGAACAAAUUAGAGUGCUCAAAKCGGGCUAACACUCGCCUGAAUAUUGUACGCAUGGAAUAAUAGAAUAGGACCUCGGUUCUGUUUUGUUGGCUUUCUGAUACCAGAGGUAAUGAUUAAUAGGGACAACUGGGGGCAUUCGUAUUGCGACGUUAGAGGUGAAAUUCUUGGAUCGUCGCAAGACGGACUAAAGCGAAAGCAUUUGCCAAAGGUGUUUUCAUUAAUCAAGAACGAAAGUUAGAGGUUCGAAGGCGAUUAGAUACCGCUGUAGUUCUAACCAUAAAUGAUGCCAGCCAGCGAUCCGCCGAAGUUUCAUAUUUUUAACCCGGUGGGCAGCUCCCGGGAAACCAAAGCUUUC
rnacentral:rRNA from 1 species